UCUUUGGGACUGGCCCCGUCAAGCGGCGUUGAUGAUCGGGUCCCACACGGCGAGAACCCACGAACCCCGCCAGGGUCGGAAGGCAGCAACGGUAAGUGGGCAAGCUCGGGUGUUGUGGGGCAGCCUGAUCGGAGUUGGCUGGCGGACGCUAAGCUGGAGAGUCGCGGUCGAAGAGGGGUGCACGG
rnacentral:SRP_RNA from 1 species